rnacentral:rRNA from 1 species
GGCUCAGAUUGAACGCUGGCGGCAUGCUUUACACAUGCAAGUCGAACGGUAACAGGUCUUCGGAUGCUGACGAGUGGCGAACGGGUGAGUAAUGUAUCGGAACGUGCCCAGUAGUGGGGGAUAACUACUCGAAAGAGUGGCUAAUACCGCAUGAGAACUGAGGUUGAAAGCGGGGGACCUUCGGGCCUCGCGCUACUGGAGCGGCCGAUAUCAGAUUAGGUAGUUGGUGGGGUAAAGGCCUACCAAGCCGACGAUCUGUAGCUGGUCUGAGAGGACGACCAGCCACACUGGGACUGAGACACGGCCCAGACUCCUACGGGAGGCAGCAGUGGGGAAUUUUGGACAAUGGACGCAAGUCUGAUCCAGCAAUGCCGCGUGCAGGACGAAGGCCUUCGGGUUGUAAACUGCUUUUGUACAGAACGAAAAGGCUCUGGUUAAUACCUGGGGCUCAUGACGGUACUGUAAGAAUAAGCACCGGCUAACUACGUG